rnacentral:rRNA from 1 species
AUUGAACGCUGGCGGCAGGCCUAACACAUGCAAGUCGAGCGAGUGGCGGACGGGUGAGUAAUGUCUGGGAAAAUGCCUGAUGGAGGGGGAUAACUCCUGGAAACGGUAGCUAAUACCGCAUACUUUAAGCUGUGCCCAUCUGGGAUUAGCUUGUGGGUGGGGUAACGGCUCACCAAGGCGACGAUCCCUAGCUGGUCUGAGAGGAUGACCAGCCACACUGGAACUGAGACGCAGUCCAGACUCCUACGGGAGGCAGCAGUGGGGAAUAUUGCACGAGGGGCGCAAGCCUGAUGCAGCCAUGCCGCGUGUAUGAAGAAGGCCUUCGGGUUGUAAAGUACUUUCAGCGGGGAGGCGUUACCCGCAGAAGAAGCACCGGCUAACUCCGUGCCAGCCGCCGCGGUAAUUC